rfam:Trichobilharzia regenti genome assembly, scaffold: TRE_contig0028794
AUCCAGAUGACGAGAUCCAAAUAGGUCGAGGUGCGCGUCCUGCAU